UAUACACAACAUAUAUUCAAUACAGGAGGAGGUAGAAGACUGGCCUGUGGCCUCCACCAUAUGCUCUCUAACGUGACAGGAAACAAGAGCAGAACUUUCUUGGUAAUAAAGUCACGUUUGUCUCGUCUGUAGAUUUAACUCCUCUGGGAUUCACUUUGCAAUAAGCUUUGAAGUCAGAGUGAAUGUGGCAAAGGGAAAUCCCAACGCUCCAAACAGGAAGUCAUCGUCAACACCUGGCAUUACAAAUUCUGGCCCUCCCCUAAUUCAUCCUAGUUACAGAAGCAGCCCCCCGGAGCAAUCUGAGGUGAAGUGUUUUGCUCAAGGACAAGGUGAUGAUCACUAAAAGAAUAUACCUAGAGGGUUUGAGCCUUUAAAUGAGAGAUAUAUAUGGUUGUGUCUAUUGUUAUAUUUGCAUUACUUUUCACUGAGACACACUGUAUGUAAAGUAACUUGCAAUAUAACUGUUGGUGCUAUGAAAAUUCAUUUGCAGCAUUCGAUUGUAACUCUUUAUGAAAUGUCUUGAUAAAUGCAUUUGUCUUUCCCAUUCAAAAUAUUUUCUAUUGAAACAGAAAGCAGGACACAAAAUCUAUUGUAGUUUUAACUUACUAUAGAUUAAAAUAUGGUAAAAAAAAAAAAAAAACUAUACACGACUGCAAAACAUAAUGCACUUUGUUGAAGGAGAUAAAUCUAGAAAUAAUAUGACCGUUUGAAAUAAUUUAAUCAUAGUCAAUAAAGACAGGGAUUGACCUGCAUGAAUGACGUAACCUGAACAGUAAAUGAACCAGUAAAGUGAUUUACUACCAGGUUAAUUAACACACCCGAGUGUAUCUGAUAUGUAUGUGAUUAAUCAAAUAUACAGAACAUAAACAUAAUUUGUUCCAACAAAAUGAUGCUAAGUUCCAUGGUAACAUUAAACAUUUAAAUUAAUAUAAAAAAUGCCUGAAUCUGGUUUAAAUUUGCACUCUCUUCUACUACAAAAAUAAAUAAAUAAAUAAAUAAAUAAAUAAAUAAAUAAAUAAAUAAAUAAAUAAAAAACAAAAAUAAACAUUAAAGGGUUAGUCCACCCAAAACUGGAAAUUCUGUCAUUAAUUACUUACCCCCA
ensembl:lncRNA